UCCAUACGCAGAUGACACUCUAGUCGACAUGCACACGACUCAUGACGAGGUUUUUAAAAUUGUUUUAAAAUUAUUCGCUGUGCCAAUCGUUUCGAAAUAUGAAUUAAUGUUGACGUCUCUAAAAGAUGUUGUCCUCGCUGUUCUUGCAACAAUGUGUUAUACUGUGUUUCCGAUUGACGACUUCGAACCAUCUGCCGUCCCUGUGAUCGACUCAACAACUCUGUCUGCCGACGAUCGCUCCGAUGGCGACAUGACCUUCACCGACACUGGAGUUCGAUAUUACAGACGUCAUCGACGUAGUCGAACCGAUACAAGAAGACAGCUUUAACGCGGCGCUGUCAAAAACAAUCCUAGAGGACCAGGGCGUUUUGAUGUUAUAUACUAGUAUUGUAUAACCUAUGUUGAAUCCUCAGGCCCGAGCAGUAAAGAGCCAGAUACUCUUGACUUCGAAGUUGACGCCGACUUCAUCAAUUCUGAUGAGUUCCUAGUGAAGGACAUCCAGUUCGAUGCUGACAUCCUGCGUCAGGCGAAGCGAUGGUUCGUUGACGGGCCAUUCAAGGUUACCACAACCGCCUGAAUGGGAAAGCCGGCAGCGGCGUCGGUUUCUACCGACUAGUUCAUCAUCUCAGACAGGAAUCGGAAAUGGUGAGGCUACUCGUUGAAGGCAACGAUCUCCAAUAAGCGCCAUCGUUUUAAAAGUGUAUCAACCAAUAAAAAGCCGCUUUUUAACAGCGUUAGGCCCAGCCAGUGUAAAGUACUGCGUUUUUAACGCUUCCUAAAUAAGGAUAGGUAUUUUUAAACCAAUAGAUUUUUAUUAAGGCAUCGCACCAACACUGCAAAGUUUUCUAUUUAUAUCAAUGGUACAGCCCAGUAAAAUCGGGCUGUCUAUUUUAUGGCCAGUUUUCGACCUUUUUAUGCAGAGUUUUAUGUUAAGCAGUGUGCUCGGGCAAUGGUUUUUAACCGAAGUCCCGAGAGUAAACAACCCCAUUAGUCAGUUGGCCUUACUAUUCUUGAGUUAUCAUCAGGAAACCUUUUUACUGUUAUGAGUCACUGUGACCUUGACCUUUGACCAAGUGACCUGAAAAUCAAUAAGGGUUAUAUACCAGUCAUGAUCAAUGUACCUAUGAAGUUUAAUGGUCCUAGGUGUAAGCAUUUUUCAGUUAUCACCCGGAUACUAUUUUACUGUUUUGAGUCACUUGGACCUUGACAUUUGAUCUAGUGACCUAAACAUCAAUAGAGGUAAUCUGCAAGUCAUGAUCAAUGUACCUAUGAAGUUUCAUGAUCCUAGACGUAAGCAUUCUUGAGUUAUCAUCCGGAAAUCAUUAAACUGUUUUGACUCACUGUGACCUUGACCUUUGACCUAAUGACCUGAACAUCAAUAGGGGUCAUCUGCCAGUCAUCAUCAAUGUACCUAUGAAGUUUCAUGAUCCUAGGCCUAAGCGUUCUUGAGUCAUUAUCCGGAAACCAUCUGGUGGACGGACCGACUGACGGACUGACUGACAUGUGCUAAACAAUAUACCCCGAACAAGCCACAUAAGAAAUGCAGCAUAACACAUUCUGAAAGUAAAAGACAUCUGAGCAAUGAUAUCUUUUCUUCAAAUGGUAAGAUGAACAAACAAGAGAGCCUGAAAGGCCCAAAGUCGUUCACCUGAGAUAACAAUAUAUUAUUGGGACAAAUAUUGUGACCAAAAUUUAUGAAGAUCGGAAAAUAAAUGUGACCUCUCGAGUGUUAACAAUGUUUUACUAUAGCAAUAUAAGGAAAAAUGCCCCACCCCCUGGCAGCCAUGUUUUUCAACCAAUUGUAACCAUUUUCGAACUGAUCCAAGAUAUCAAUGAGACUUAUAUUCUGGCCCAAUUUUAUGAAGAUUGGAAUAUAAACGUGGCAUCCACAGAGUUAACAAGGCAAAUGUUGACGGCUCACGACGGCCAUAAAGCGAUCACAAAAGCUCACUAUGAGCACGUUGUGUGAUUACACUCAAUGAGUUCAAAUUUUUCUCACAGGCUUUGCGAUUGGACUUUAUAGUAUGGGUGGCUUUGUUAUUAGUUAUUGCUAUCAUGUACCUGCAAUAGUGUGUGUAUGUUUACAAUACACAAAGCAUUUGACAUAAAUAGACUAAUUGAGCUUAUAAUAAUCUA